rnacentral:rRNA from 1 species
GAAGGCCCAGACAGCCAGGAUGUUGGCUUAGAAGCAGCCAUCAUUUAAAGAAAGCGUAAUAGCUCACUGGUCGAGUCGGCCUGCGCGGAAGAUGUAACGGGGCUAAACCAUGCACCGAAGCUGCGGCAGCGACGCUUAUGCGUUGUUGGGUAGGGGAGCGUUCUGUAAGCCUGUGAAGGUGUGUCGUGAGGCAUGCUGGAGGUAUCAGAAGUGCGAAUGCUGACAUAAGUAACGAUAAAGCGGGUGAAAAGCCCGCUCGCCGGAAGACCAAGGGUUCCUGUCCAACGUUAAUCGGGGCAGGGUGAGUCGACCCCUAAGGCGAGGCCGAAAGGCGUAGUCGAUGGGAAACGGGUUAAUAUUCCCGUACUUGGUGUUACUGCGAAGGGGGGACGGAGAAGGCUAUGUUGGCCGGGCGACGGUUGUCCCGGUUUAAGCGUGUAGGUGUGUGUUCCAGGUAAAUCCGGUUCACUUUAACACUGAGGCGUGAUGACGAGGCACUACGGUGCUGAAGUAACAAAUGCCCUGCUUCCAGGAAAAGCCUCUAAGCAUCAGGUAACAUCAAAUCGUACCCCAAACCGACACAGGUGGUCAGGUAGAGAAUACCAAGGCGCUUGAGAGAACUCGGGUGAAGGAACUAGGCAAAAUGGUGCCGUAACUUCGGGAGAAGGCACGCUGACACGUAGGUGAAGUGAUUUACUCACGGAGCUGAAGUCAGUCGAAGAUACCAGCUGGCUGCAACUGUUUAUUAAAAACACAGCACUGUGCAAACACGAAAGUGGACGUAUACGGUGUGACGCCUGCCCGGUGCCGGAAGGUUAAUUGAUGGGGUCAGCGCAAGCGAAGCUCCUGAUCGAAGCCCCGGUAAACGGCGGCCGUAACUAUAACGGUCCUAAGGUAGCGAAAUUCCUUGUCGGGUAAGUUCCGACCUGCACGAAUGGCGUAAUGAUGGCCAGGCUGUCUCCACCCGAGACUCAGUGAAAUUGAACUCGCUGUGAAGAUGCAGUGUACCCGCGGCAAGACGGAAAGACCCCGUGAACCUUUACUAUAGCUUGACACUGAACAUUGAGCCUUGAUGUGUAGGAUAGGUGGGAGGCUUUGAAGUGUGGACGCCAGUCUGCAUGGAGCCGACCUUGAAAUACCACCCUUUAAUGUUUGAUGUUCUAACGUGGACCCGUUACCCGGGUUGCGGACAGUGUCUGGUGGGUAGUUUGACUGGGGCGGUCUCCUCCUAAAGAGUAACGGAGGAGCACGAAGGUUGGCUAAUCCUGGUCGGACAUCAGGAGGUUAGUGCAAUGGCAUAAGCCAGCUUGACUGCGAGCGUGACGGCGCGAGCAGGUGCGAAAGCAGGUCAUAGUGAUCCGGUGGUUCUGAAUGGAAGGGCCAUCGCUCAACGGAUAAAAGGUACUCCGGGGAUAACAGGCUGAUACCGCCCAAGAGUUCAUAUCGACGGCGGUGUUUGGCACCUCGAUGUCGGCUCAUCACAUCCUGGGGCUGAAGUAGGUCCCAAGGGUAUGGCUGUUCGCCAUUUAAAGUGGUACGCGAGCUGGGUUUAGAACGUCGUGAGACAGUUCGGUCCCUAUCUGCCGUGGGCGCUGGAGAACUGAGGGGGGCUGCUCCUAGUACGAGAGGACCGGAGUGGACGCAUCACUGGUGUUCGGGUUGUCAUGCCAAUGGCACUGCCCGGUAGCUAAAUGCGGAAGAGAUAAGUGCUGAAAGCAUCUAAGCACGAAACUUGCCCCGAGAUGAGUUCUCCCUGAGACUUUAGGUCUCCUGAAGGAACGUUGAAGACGACGACGUUGAUAGGCCGGGUGUGUAAGCGCAGCGAUGCGUUGAGCUAACCGGUACUAAUGAACCGUGAGGCUUAACCUUACAACGCCG